rnacentral:lncRNA from 1 species
UCCUGGUGGUAAGUCUCGCUCCUGGAGUUCCCAUCUUGGCCCUACAGCGGGACAUUUUGCCGCCACCUCUUUGUGUGUUGGGAAGAUGACGUCCUUUCUGCUCGUCCUGCUUCUCUGAUUGGGACAGUCUGGUUGGAAAGGGAGGAGGAGAAAUAAGAGAAAACUCCAUUGUAAUAUACAAGAUGAAAGGAAAAUAAAGACAAGUAAAAGGAAUGAUCUGCAACCACCUGGAUAUUGGAGCACAAUUGUGAGAACAACUGGAUCUGUGUCUCUGGAGAUCCCUUUGCUUAGCCGUCAGAUCAAGCAGGCACCCAUGGUUCAUAAUGGUGAUGACCUGGGCAAGAGGUCACCAGUAAGGAGCAAAGGGACCUGCCUGCCACUCUUAAGUAGAGCACCUGCUGAAUCAGGAUUUCCAAGGCUCUGGCUGAGUGCCUGGCUGGGGCUGUGUGUGCAGAUGCCACAAGAUGGACAAGACUGAGGAUGCAGAUUUCCUACAACAGCAGGCUUCUGAUGCCCAGGCUUCAGUUCUGAACUCUGGAGGCUACAACCUGGCCUGCUUAUAGACGGGAGACCAAACGAAGGUAAAGAGGAGAUGGAUGAGGAAACUGAAGCAACUGUUCAAGAAGAGGAUAUCAAAAGGGACAGGCAUUGAUGAUGAUAUCAGAGCUUCUUCCUGGGGAAUCUCAGCCUCACAUGAUGGAGUAUGACAAAAGGAAAAAAAUAAGGCUCUCCACGUACUUUCUUGGCAGUCUAUGAGGGUCAGGGUUGAUUUUGUGUCCCUAAAAUGUUGCAUGAAGUUCAUAGGCACUUCCAAAGGGGCAGUCUAGCAAGUAAAAGAGAUGUGGAGCUGUGGAAUCUAUUGUU